GGCCUGGUCUCAUGCAAUGAGCUGCCGGAGACAACGGGUCAGGCUGGAAACAGAGCAGCCCAUCUGUGGUGACCAUGUGCCGUGAGGUGCUGGGCCGCA
rnacentral:SRP_RNA from 2 species